GAUGAACGCUGGCGGCGUGCCUAAUACAUGCAAGUCGAGCGAAUGGAUUAAGAGCUUGCUCUUAUGAAGUUAGCGGCGGACGGGUGAGUAACACGUGGGUAACCUGCCCAUAAGACUGGGAUAACUCCGGGAAACCGGGGCUAAUACCGGAUAACAUUUUGAACCGCAUGGUUCGAAAUUGAAAGGCGGCUUCGGCUGUCACUUAUGGAUGGACCCGCGUCGCAUUAGCUAGUUGGUGAGGUAACGGCUCACCAAGGCAACGAUGCGUAGCCGACCUGAGAGGGCGAUCGGCCACACUGGGACUGAGACACGGCCCAGACUCCUACGGGAGGCAGCAGUAGGGAAUCUUCCGCAAUGGACGAAAGUCUGACGGAGCAACGCCGCGUGAGUGAUGAAGGCUUUCGGGUCGUAAAACUCUGUUGUUAGGGAAGAACAAGUGCUAGUUGAAUAAGCUGGCACCUUGACGGUGCCUAACCAGAAAGCCACGGCUAACUACGUGCCAGCCGCCGCCGUAA
rnacentral:rRNA from 1 species